AACCGAUGAUCUGCGUGCCCGGCGAGUUCGGCAUUCGCCUGGAGGAUCACUUCUACAUGACGAAGGAAGGACCGCGCUGGUUCACCCAACCGAGCCCGUCCAUCGACGAUCCCUUCGGCCUCGGCGGCUGAUCCGGCCGAACGAUAACGCCGCACGCGGGAAGGCAAGGACCAGGGCUUCCCGCGUGCGGCGCAGCGAUCAGUCCAGCUUCACCCGCGAAAAGUCCCGCGCCGACAUCGGGCUCAUGCGGUAGCCGCUGACGUUCUUGCGUUGCGCGUCGAACAUCAAAGGAUGCGCCAGCGGCAACCAGGGCAUCUGCUCGUGGAAGAUCCGCUGCGCUUCCUUGUACAGCGCUACCCGUUGGCUCUCGUCGUUGCUCAUGCGCGCCUUGCGGAUGGCUUCGUCGAAGCCCUUGUCGCACCAGCGCGCGCGAUUUUCCCCGGACUCCACCGAGGCGCAGCCGAGGUUGUGGGUGAGGAAGUUGUCCGGGUCGCCGUUAUCGCCGAUCCAGCUGUAGAGCAUCAUGUCGUGUUCGCCGGCCUUGGUGCGCUUGACCAUCUCGCCCCACUCGAACUGGCGGAUGUUCACCCGGAUGCCGAUGGCGGCCAGGUCGGACUGGAUCAGUUGCGCCACUCGCGCCGGGUUGCCGCCGGGGCCGCUGCCGGUGCUGAUGUAGAGGUUCAGGGGUGUGUCCGGGGUGACGCCGGCUUCCUUCAGCAGGGCCUUGGCCCGUUCGGGGUCGUAGGGCCAGUCGCGGAUGCUGUCGUCGUAGCCGAGCAGCAUCGGCGGGUAGGGGCCGAUGGCCGGGCGGGCCUGGUCGCCGAAGACGAUCUUCAGGUAGGACGACUUGUUGAAGCCCAUGGCGAUCGCCCGGCGCACGCGCGGGUCGUCGAACGGUUCGUGCCGGGUGUUGAUCGCGGCGUGGGAGGUGAUCAUCGCCGCUUCUUCCAGCACCGUCAGUUGCGGGUCCUGGCGCAACGCGGCGACGUCUUCCGGCUUGGGCGUCAGGGCGAUCUGGCAUUCGUUGCGGCGCAGGCGCUGCACGCGCACGUUGGGAUCGAGGGUGAUCGCCAGCACCAGGUGGUCGAUGGCCGGCUUACCCUUCCAGUAGUCGGGGUUGGCCGCGUAGCGCACCUGGGCAUCCUUGCGGUAGCGGGUGAAGACGAACGGGCCGGUGCCGAUCGGCUUGCUGUUGAGUUCGUCGCCCUUGCCCCUGGCGAUCAGUUGGCCGGCAUAUUCGGCGGAGAGGAUCGAGCCGAACGGCAUGGCCAGGUCGGCGAGGAACGGCGCCUCCGGGUGCUUGAGGACGAAGCGCACCUGGUGCUCGUCGAUCUUCUCGAUGCGCUCGAUG
rnacentral:sRNA from 1 species